UUUUAAUGUAUGAUGUGUGGUGCUUUUAUGG
rnacentral:sRNA from 1 species